UUAGGAUUAAUAUUGUGAUUCGGUUGUUGAGUAAUAAACAAUUAAUUAUUUAAUUGAUUAAUUAAUUUUACUGUAGAGAAUGCUCCUUGGGCAGUCGAUUGUUACUCAGUUCGUCAAAACAUGGAACCUGAACACAAAAUUCCGAUACUGGACUCUUAAACCUAUUUAAUUUAAUAAGCUAAAUGUCUUUGCAACAUAAAAGUCCUGGUAAUAUAAGUCGCGAAACACUUAAAAGGGAAGUGAUAAAUCCGUAACUCUACCCACAGAUGAAACCAAACUUCACGACGUAAUAGUUAGAUAAAGGAAACUUGCAAUUCCUGACAUCUACGGUUCGAAUUUCGAUCAGGAGAUCGAAGAUGUCAGUUUUUAGUUGUUUUGCUAAAUCCGCGAUAAAAAGUUAUGGGACAGAAUCGAAACAUAAUAUCAGACUACCUCCUUUCAUACCAUUCACAAUCAUCCAGCAAUCUGACUGUAUAUUGCCUGUGCAGCUGACAAACCAAAGCAAGAAACAAAUACACAGCAGACAAACAAGUAGCUACAGGAGGUGAAGGAAACUUGGAAGUCGACCAACAAAGUGGAGCGGAUUACAAACGCGGAUUUCAUCAGCUCAGACUCUACAACGUCAAACAGCAGUGUGAUUAAUGAAAAAUGCUCUGGAAAAGAUGUGGAAAGAGUAGCACCAACCUAAUUUCAGACAUGACACAAUAGUUUUAAAACAUUCCUUGGACACAAAUAAUAAGGAAGACACGUAAAACACUACGUGAAGUGUUUUAAAGAAGUGCCAAGAGAUAGCUACUAUAUAAAAACAAAUGAGAACAGCCUGAAAACAAAUAUAGCGGACAGAAACGCAUACAAAGUUACAAAGACCGACCGCUCCGCUGUACAUACCGAGAAUCGCAACUCAGAACCGUCUUUCCCAUGUAACUUAAACAAACUCAAGCAACACGUAAAAAGACAAGUAAGUUCACACAGAUGAGUUCAUACAUCUAUAAACUUAACUAUCUUUAAUAUACAUUUGAAGUGGAAUUUGAUGUAAAUAUUAAACUCAUCAGGGUCACAAUAAUUUGCUCUGUCGUUUAGUUUGUUCAAACUAUCGUACAAAUAAUGAUACAAUGGCUGUGUUAACAAUAAAUUAAACUAGUUGUUAAAUUUUAUUUCUAUUUAACAGUACUUUGGUAAAGGUUAACAUGUGUAUAUAAAAUCAUAAUUUUUCAACACGUACACAGAAUUAACUCAGUAUGAAGGCCACGACACAUAGGGUCACUACAAAAAGUAUUAAUAAUCCCCAGUAUUGCAGCCGUGGUAAUAGGGUAGAAGGAAAGCGAUACACAUUUAGAGAUUCCGACAGAUUAGAAACUCUGAUUUAGGAAAUUCCUUUACUGCAAAAGGAGGACAGUGGGGUGUAAUACGGUUCUCAUGAUUUCAUGUCUUAAAUUUGCCUGCGUGUAUAGGCUUAAGGAGUUUGAUAAAUGGUAACAAUUUUAACUCCUUCGUGUUACAGAAUCCAAAAUGCAUCCCUGUCAUCCUACAGGCCCGAAAAUGGACCACACAGAAUCUAAUUGUGUUUAAAUCCUCACGAACUUGGCAUGUCGUUGCAUGUUAUUCUCCUAACCGCUCUCGUAUCAAAUCAUUUCUUACUAGGAAGUCUUGUUUAAAGAAUAACGCAAAUAUUAUUACAAUACUAACUUUCAGUAAAUCGCCAGUACUAGCUCUGAGGAUGGUAACGCAGAUAAUUUCCGAAACGUCGGGAAAGAAGUAGUUGAAAGCGUGCAGACUGAGUUCGUCUAGCUCUAGUUCUUGUCCUAGAAGCUAACAGGCGAGACAUUUCCUGACUAGCUGGAACCAUCAGAUUCUCUAGAGGGAUUUUCCCCAUGGAGUUUCCUGGAGUAUAAGGACUGGAGACUUUUCUGGUCUGGUGGAAACGUUUAUCAACGUUUCAGAUGUGAUUGAUCUAAUGAAAUAAAUAUAUGUUUAUGAGUCCAGUACAAACCGAUCGACAACUCUACUUACUACAUCUACACUUAAUAUUACGCUCGCCAUUGCAAAGUAUGCGCCUGCAAACCUAAAUUUAAACCCUCAGAACAUCAAAUCAGGAUGCAGAAUAUAUGAACCUGUCCUUGAACAUGAUUCAUGUGAUGCAGCAUACUCCGAAGAAAAUCAGAUUUUGCCACACGCAUUUAUGAUCAGCAAAGCAAACACCCUUCUGUAAGAGCAUUAGGAGAAGUCUUUUAA